GUGCCAGCAUCCGUGGUAAUCACAGAGGGUGCGAGCGUUAAUCCUAUUUACUGGCCGUAAUGCGUGGGUACGCUGCCCAUUAAAGUCAAAUGUGAAAUCCCCGAGCUUAACUUGGGAAUUGCAUUCGAUACUGGUUGGCUAGAGUAUGGGAGAGGAUGGUAGAAUUCCAGGUGUAGCGGUGAAAUGCGUAGAGAUCUGGAGGAAUACCGAUGGCGAAGGCAGCCAUCUGGCCUAAUACUGACGCUGAGGUACGAAAGCAUGGGGAGCAAACAGGAUUAGAUACCCUGGUAGUCC
rnacentral:rRNA from 1 species